UACGAAGGGUGCGAGCGUUAAUCGGAAUUACUGGGCGUAAAGCGUGCGCAGGCGGUUAUGUAAGACAGAGGUGAAAUCCCCGGGCUCAACCUGGGAACUGCCUUUGUGAACGCAUGACUAGAGUACGGCAGAGGGGGAUGGAAUUCCGCGUGUAGCAGUGAAAUGCGUAGAUAUGCGGAGGAACACCGAUGGCGAAGGCAAUCCCCUGGGCCUGUACUGACGCUCAUGCACGAAAGCGUGGGGAGCAAACAGG
rnacentral:rRNA from 1 species